GCAGCGCGAGAGAGCUUGCUCUCUUGGCGGCGAGUGGCGGACGGGUGAGUAAUAUAUCGGAACGUGCCCAGUAUCGGGGGAUAACUACUCGAAAGAGUGGCUAAUACCGCAUACGCCCUACGGGGGAAAGGGGGGGAUCGCAGGACCUCUCACUAUUGGAGCGGCCGAUAUCGGAUUAGCUAGUUGGUGGGGUAAAGGCUCACCAAGGCAACGAUCCGUAGCUGGUUUGAGAGGACGACCAGCCACACUGGGACUGACACACGGCCCAGACUCCUACGGGAGGCAGCAGUGGGGAAUUUUGGACAAUGGGGGAAACCCUGAUCCAGCCAUCCCGCGUGUAUGAUGAAGGCCUUCGGGUUGUAAAGUACUUUUGGCAGAGAAGAAAAGGUAUCCCCUAAUACGGGAUACUGCUGACGGUAUCUGCAGAAUAAGCACCGGCUAACUACGUGCCAGCAGCCGCGGUAAUACGUAGGGUGCAAGCGUUAAUCGGAAUUACUGGGCGUAAAGCGUGUGUAGGCGGUUCGGAAAGAAAGAUGUGAAAUCCCAGGGCUCAACCUUGGAACUGCAUUUUUAACUGCCGAGCUAGAGUAUGUCAGAGGGGGGUAGAAUUCCACGUGUAGCAGUGAAAUGCGUAGAUAUGUGGAGGAAUACCGAUGGCGAAGGCAGCCCCCUGGGAUAAUACUGACGCUCAGACACGAAAGCGUGGGGAGCAAACAGGAUUAGAUACCCUGGUAGUCCACGCCCUAAACGAUGUCAACUAGCUGUUGGGGCCGUUAGGCCUUAGUAGCGCAGCUAACGCGUGAAGUUGACCGCCUGGGGAGUACGGUCGCAAGAUUAAAACUCAAAGGAAUUGACGGGGACCCGC
rnacentral:rRNA from 1 species